rnacentral:rRNA from 1 species
CACCGCGGUUAUACGAGAGGCCCAAGUUGACAGACACCGGCGUAAAGCGUGGUUAAGGUAAACUUAAACUAAAGCCGAACACCUUCAGGGCAGUUAUACGCAUCCGAAGGCACGAAGCCCCACCACGAAAGUGGCUUUAUAAUUCCUGACCCCACGAAAGCUAUGAUA